rnacentral:rRNA from 1 species
CCUACGGGUGGCAGCAGUGGGGAAUAUUGGGCAAUGGGCGCAAGCCUGACCCAGCAACGCCGCGUGAAGGGAGAAGGCCCUCGGGUUGUAAACUUCUUUUGUCAGGGACGAAGCAAGUGACGGUACCUGACGAAUAAGCCACGGCUAACUACGUGCCAGCAGCCGCGGUAAUACGUAGGUGGCAAGCGUUAUCCGGAUUGACUGGGUGGAAAGGUCGUGUAGGCGGGGCAGCAAGUCAUAGGUGAAAUUCCAGGGCUCAACCCUGGAACUGCAUUUGAAACUGUUUUUCUUGAGUGAUGGAGAGGCAGGCGGAAUUCCGGGUGUAGGGGUGAAAUGCGUAGAUAUACGGAGGAACACCAGUGGCGAAGGCGGCCUGCUGGACAUUAACUGACGCUGAGGCGCGAAAGCGUGGGGAGCAAACAGGAUUAGAUACCCCAGUAGUC